GAAGUGUUGUAGUAGAUAUAUAGGCCUGAGAUCCACGUUUACGAUCACUACUUGACCGACCUCCUCGUCCUUCAGGACGUCCAUGAAACUUAAAACAACGAUCCUGAUAUGAUUCUUUCCCUCACAGUAGUCACAUUCACGGGACUCCUUCUCAACAGGAGAUUGAAUGGGGAAGUCAAGCUUAGGAUACGAAGCAACAAUGACUAAUCGGUCAACAUGAUUUAAAUUUAGAACCAUCACCUGAUGUCUACUUUCCUCUUGUUGGACUCUGGCAUGAGCCUCUCGCAGUGAUGAAAAUGGUAUCUGACCAAUCAAUUGUGGUUGAACUUGAUCAUACUCUAUGUUCAAACCAGCCAGGAAAUCCACAACUCU
rnacentral:lncRNA from 1 species